GCUGCGCUACCAUCCAUCAUAAACCCCUGGGGAGGAAUGAUAUCCUUUAUCUCUCGGUUCACUUUCUGAUUGGCUUGGGAACGUGUAGCUGGCGGAGUCAUUAUUUCGGAUCCGCGGUUCAAAAAAAAACUCUAAACUUCUUCUAAUUUUUCUAUUAAAUGUCUGCCUGUUUCUUUCGCCUUCUGACAAGGACCACGACCGCUGGAUGUUGUGUUCCUUCUUCCGACGCCCUUGAUGGGCCGCGCCGAACCAGGAUAUUUCUGUCUCCUGUCGGGGUCCCGGUCGUGGGCACCUCAGCGAUCAUCCUACGUGGCUGCGUCUCUCGCCUCUUAGUGGGACUUCUACGAUUUGCUCUUGGUAGCAAUUAUCCAGGACCACCACUAGUUGUCGAGGACCGGCCGGAGAUUCUCUUCCUUUUCUUUUUUUCUGUCUUUUUAUAUUGGGCGCCACUCUGUUAUGUCUCGACUUAUUUUUGGUGAUCCAACCAUCGGAUUCCGGCUAGCAAUCGGAUUUCUCAAGCACUUGAUGACAACUUUAAAAAUGAAAGGAAACAAGGACUGCGGACCUGCUGUUGAUGGCCGCGGAAUAUACCCCCCCUUCCUUGAGCUGCUGUAUCUUUUAAGCAACUCCCCGACACUGGCUACUGGGUCUAUUAUGCGUCACCUCACCCCAUUGUUAACACUCUACUCGCUCAUUUUCUUUUCCACUUUAAUUCACAAAAUGCUUAUAAAUAACAUUCAUUUAACUUCACAAUUCCCUAACCUGGGUACCACAGGGACGAUUACAUCACACAUGAAUAAAUAGUUAUAAGUAUA